UUUAGGACUUUGUGGACAAUUUUCCCCGCUCUUUCUAUUCAUCUCAUCUGCUCGUGUGAGACCAAAAGAAGAACGACACGGAGAAACUUUUUUAAGAGGAUCAGAUGCUGAAGUGGGGCGACCAAGCUCUUAGAGAGAAGAUGAUGACUAGUGCGACGAUGGAGAUUGGGGAAAGUGAUGGGCGGCAGCGAAGCACUGCCUCUCCUGUUAUUGAACCCCGUCUCGCCGAUGUGCCGAUCCAUGUGGGACUCGGUGAGGUUCUACGAGGACGUUCUGGGCUUCGUCCUCGUCAAACGCCCUUCUUCUUUCGACUUCAAUGGAGCUCGGCUAUACAACUAUGGAAAAGGGAUACACUUGAUUGAGAACCCAUCGAUUGAGGAAAACGACGCCAUUUGACGAGCCGCGUCCAAUCAACCCCAAAGAUAACCAUAUGUCUUUCCGUGUAAGUUUGAUACAGCAUAAGUCUCCAUUAACUGGGAGAACGGUAAGGCACAAUUGAAUUUGAAUUACAAGUCCUAGUUGUUCAAUUGUUAA